UUAACUCGUAUUUGUAUGGAAUGGGAUCGUUUGCAUAUGUUUGCCGCUAGGGGCGCUGUUCCAACUGCAUACAAAUUUGAGUUA
rnacentral:pre_miRNA from 1 species